rnacentral:tRNA from 1 species
GGUUCCAUAGUGUAGCGGUUAGCACGUCUGCUUUACAUGCAGAAAGGCCUGGGUUCAUACCCAGUGGAGCCA